rnacentral:tRNA from 1 species
AGGGAUGUGGCUCAGUGGUGGAGCACUUGCCUAGCAAGUGUGAGGCACUGGGUUCAAUCCCUAGCAUCACAU